rnacentral:rRNA from 1 species
GACGAACGCUGGCGGCGUGCCUAACACAUGCAAGUCGUGCGAGAAAGUUCCUUCGGGAGCGAGUAAAGCGGCGCACGGGUGAGUAACACGUAGGUAACCUGCCCCCCAGUCUGGAACAACUAGAGGAAACUCUAGCUAAUGCCGGAUGAGACCACGAUCCCUUCGGGGGUUGCGGCCAAAGAUGGCCUCUACUUGUAAGCUAUCGCUGAGGGAUGGGCCUGCGGGCCAUUAGCUUGUUGGUGAGGUAACGGCUCACCAAGGCUGUGAUGGCUAGCUGGUCUGAGAGGAUGACCAGCCACACUGGGACUGAGACACGGCCCAGACUCCUACGGGAGGCAGCAGUGGGGAAUAUUGCGCAAUGGGCGAAAGCCUGACGCAGCGACGCCGCGUGGGUGGAUGAAGGCCU